rnacentral:rRNA from 1 species
GCAAGUCGAGCGGACAGAAGGGAGCUUGCUCCCGGAUGUUAGCGGCGGACGGGUGAGUAACACGUGGGUAACCUGCCUGUAAGACUGGGAUAACUCCGGGAAACCGGAGCUAAUACCGGAUAGUUCCUUGAACCGCAUGGUUCAAGGAUGAAAGACGGUUUCGGCUGUCACUUACAGAUGGACCCGCGGCGCAUUAGCUAGUUGGUGAGGUAACGGCUCACCAAGGCGACGAUGCGUAGCCGACCUGAGAGGGUGAUCGGCCACACUGGGACUGAGACACGGCCCAGACUCCUACGGGAGGCAGCAGUAGGGAAUCUUCCGCAAUGGACGAAAGUCUGACGGAGCAACGCCGCGUGAGUGAUGAAGGUUUUCGGAUCGUAAAGCUCUGUUGUUAGGGAAGAACAAGUGCAAGAGUAACUGCUUGCACCUUGACGGUACCUAACCAGAAAGCCACGGCUAACUACGUGCCAGCAGCCGCGGUAAUACGUAGGUGGCAAGCGUUGUCCGGAAUUAUUGGGCGUAAAGGGCUCGCAGGCGGUUUCUUAAGUCUGAUGUGAAAGCCCCCGGCUCAACCGGGGAGGGUCAUUGGAAACUGGGAAACUUGAGUGCAGAAGAGGAGAGUGGAAUUCCACGUGUAGCGGUGAAAUGCGUAGAGAUGUGGAGGAACACCAGUGGCGAAGGCGACUCUCUGGUCUGUAACUGACGCUGAGGAGCGAAAGCGUGGGGAGCGAACAGGAUUAGAUACCCUGGUAGUCCACGCCGUAAACGAUGAGUGCUAAG